ACUUAGAUAGCUUAAAUAAAGCGUAAUUUUGAAGAAUUUAUAAUAGAUAUAUUAUCUUCUAAGUA
rnacentral:tRNA from 1 species